rnacentral:rRNA from 1 species
GACGAACGCUGGCGGCGUGCUUAACACAUGCAAGUCGAACGGAAAGGCCCUGCUUGCAGGGUACUCGAGUGGCGAACGGGUGAGUAACACGUGGGUGAUCUGCCCUGCACUUCGGGAUAAGCCUGGGAAACUGGGUCUAAUACCGGAUAGGAGCCAUUUUUAGUGUGAUGGUUGGAAAGUUUUUUCGGUGUAGGCUGAGCUCGCGGCCUAUCAGCUUGUUGGUGGGGUAAUGGCCUACCAAGGCGGCGACGGGUAGCCGGCCUGAGAGGGUGGACGGCCACAUUGGGACUGAGAGACGGCCCAGGCUCCUACGGGAGGCAGAAGUGGGGAAUCUUGCACGAUGGGCGCAAGCCUGAUGCAGCGACGCCGCGUGGGGGAUGACGGCCUUCGGGUUGAAAACUCCUUUCGCUAGGGACGAAGCUUUUUGUGACGGUACCUAGAUAAGAAGCACCGGCUAACUACGUG